rnacentral:rRNA from 1 species
UACGUAGGCAGCAAGCGUUGUCCGGAAUCAUUGGGCGUAAAGCGCGUGUAGGCGGCUCGGUGAGUCUGCUCUGAAAGUCCAAGGCUCAACCUUGGGAUGCGGGUGGAUACUGCCGGGCUCGAGUCCGGAAGAGGCGAGUGGAAUUCCUGGUGUAGCGGUGAAAUGCGCAGAUAUCAGGAGGAACACCAAUGGCGAAGGCAGCUCGCUGGGACGUGACUGACGCUGAGACGCGAAAGCGUGGGGAGCAAACAGG